rnacentral:rRNA from 1 species
AGGGUUUGAUCAUGGCUCAGGACGAACGCUGGCGGCGUGCUUAAUACAUGCAAGUCGAACGCUCUCGACCUUCGGGUCACAUGAGAGAGUGGCGAACGGGUGCGUAACACGUGAGAAACCUGCCCCGAAGACUGGAAUAACCCGGGGAAACUUGGGCUAAUACCGGAUACCCCCAACUAAUCGCAUGGUUAGUUGAGGAAAUGCUCCGGCGCUUCGGGAGGGUCUCGCGGCCUAUCAGCUAGUUGGUGAGGUAACGGCUCACCAAGGCAACGACGGGUAGCUGGUCUGAGAGGACGAUCAGCCACACUGGGACUGAGACACGGCCCAGACUCCUACGGGAGGCAGCAGCAGGGAAUCUUGCGCAAUGGGCGAAAGCCUGACGCAGCCACGCCGCGUGAGGGAUGAAGGCUCUAGGGUCGUAAACCUCUUUCAGCAGGGAAGAAAAUGACGGUACCUGCAGAAGAAGCUCCGGCCAACUACGUGCCAGCCGCCGCGGUAAUUC